CAACAGUUUGCAGUCAGGCGAGCAGGCGGUUCUGAGCAGGAGCAUGAAGGGAGGCUCGUUCCCUUUUCACUGAAGCCAUCCUUCCACCGAGGGGAUCUGUUUCAGCUGGAGGCGGUGCUACGGAACCCUAAAACAUGUGGGCGGAGAGGACGAAAUCUCCCGGCUUGGACAGAGACUCCCGAACCAGGAAGGUGCCCGGCUCAUCUCGCUGGUUAAUUCUUGCAGGAUGCAGGUCCAGAGUUUGCCUGUUGUUCUCACCGUCCACAUUACGUCUUCAUUACACGUUUGAGUUCUAUCCAGAGGAAUAAGAGGGCAUCUUUCACUCAUGGAUAUAUAGGAUGUCGCCAUUGCUUGCUUGUGACCUCCAAGCUCCUCUAAAUGAGGCAACAAAGUCUUCACAGAUUGAAAAUGGUUUAGCUGACGAGGGAUCAGAAAUGACACGACAGAAGAGAAGCGGGACAAGCCAGCAGCAGCUGGGGAUAGACAGAAGGAGGAAUGGAAACAGAGAAGUUGUUGUCACGCCUUGCACAAAACACAAAGAACAAAACCAGAGUUUACGAAUGGAGGAUCUGAUGUGUCCGGCAGAGGCUUGACUCACCGAACCAUGGCGUCUCCUCACUUUUUCUGGGGACUAGAGAGAAGAAGAGCGGUUUGGGAAGAGGGGCUUGUUCCUACGGCACACAUGCAGACUCAGAUCACACAUUUUGGCUUUAAAAGUUUGUGUAAGUCCUGCAGCUUUUCAGCUUCCUUACUGUUGGUUGACUUAUUUUAUGUGUCACACACUAACUUCAGUUUAAAGAUCUCAAUCAAAUCUAAUCUCCUCUGCUUUCCCUCUGAUGUAACACAUUAACCAAGUAUCCAUCUCUGCCCCAACGCCACCUCCACCCCGGUUGUCGGUCUUCCCUCCAACAGCAAAGCAGUGUCCCACACAGGUCGAGUCCAGCCGUGCAGCUGAAGCUCUUCCAGGCGUGGGUGGAGGGGGGAGUUAUCGACGCAGAGUGAGACAGACUAACCCGGCUGCGUGGUUGGUGGCGGUUGAGGGGAGAACAUCUGCUACAUGGCGGUGAGGUGGAGAAACUAGCCUCGGAGGAGAGGUUUUUAUUUCGUUUUUUUUUGUUCAGCGAGGGACCUGCAUCUGCUGGGAAGUCUGUGACUGGUUCUGAGCUGUGACCUCAGGACCCCGGCUGGCCAGCCGGCUCAGGAUGUUCCUCUCAGACAUUUGCAGCCUCACGGCCACCGGAGGUAUCCUGGCGAUGGUUGCUGGGAGACGAGUGACGUCGGCCUUCAUGUCACUGAGCAGUUCCUCGAGCUGUUUGAGAACUGGAGACAGAGCAUCACAAUCAGCAACAGAAACCAAUAUUAGGUUUUAUGGACAAAUCGAUUUAAUCUAAUAUUUACACAUUUAGAUGUCUUGAUUUUUGCAGCUGUAAAAAUGACAUUAAACAGCUUAUUUCAA